ACGACAGAUCAGAAACUUUAGAUUUCUUUGAUCUUAUGACUGUUUUAUGGAGAAUAUUUGUUGUUUAGACAAGUUCGCUUUUUUUCUCAAUUGUGAUUGCCUAUCCUGUGCUACCUGGAGCUACCCAUGAGUGUCCCGUUACCCUCCCUCCUAACAUAUUUGAAAACAGUCGAUGUUGUGCCCAAAUUAAAUUGGUGCAAGAAAUUAUGCAUGCAUGAAAGAAAUGAGAUGAUGCAUGCACGCACACCACCAAUCCAACAGCAACACUAGAAUCUCUGGAUCACGACCGAGGCGCAGAUGCUGAUUCAUCGUAUCAGAGGAGACACCUCAAAUGUUACUUGUCGCACAAGUUCUCCAUUACGGGUUUUGGCGAGUUAAGCAACCACACCAUCAUUGACACUAGAAUCCAACUUACAACUUCACCGACGUCGUAACCGGAUUCUUUGCCAUUUGUAAUCGGAAUGAUCAGGACAGGUGGAAGCUGUCAACAAGGCUUUAAAAUCCGGUGAAUUUUCAGCGAUAAUCAUCAGGAUCCAUUUAUUAUCCAUUUCAGGACCUACCGAUAUCAUCGUCCACUGCCAGGAAAAGCAUUUCAAUCAAGAACAACGGUUAAAAUCCUGGUGAAAUGUCCUCUUUCUAUGAGACCGAAACCGGAAAGCUGAUGACCCUACAACAAUCCCACUUCUUUCUCUGGUAUCCUCAGGUGAAGUUACGUCGCAUAGUAUAGCCCGUGGUGUAGCUGACUGGUCUACGAAUGUAGGCCAUGCCAAAUUUCAAGAGGAUCACAGAUCUCUGGUCAAGUUAUAUGACAGCUCGACAGUUCAGGACCCUCUGCUCACUUCCGGUGUAGUUUCGGCGCAAAAUAUUAAGAAAUGGUUGAGGUUUUGACACUAGAUGGUUUUGUAUAUUGGCGAACAAAUGAAUGUCCAUGAAAUGUCAAAAGUUAUGUAGAGUAAAAUGUAAUAAGAGAUGUAUGGUGCAAAGCCUCGUCUGUUGAUCGCCCUUAUUAAGUCAUCGUUUGUCUGAUGCCUUUGUCAAUAAUAGUGAAGUUGGAGCGGCAGCAGCAGCAGAUCCUCAAUAGUGGUCUCCAGUUCAACAGCAGCUGUCGAUAAUGGUCAUGGGAUUACGAACUUACUCGCCCGUUUAGUGCGUCGAUUCGCCAAUUAUUUGUUUGGCCUUUUGUAUAGCAUCGGACUCCAAAAUCACUGCAAUGAAAUUAGGGCGCUCUUUUGUUGCCGGAGUGACGGAACGGAGUGUCAAAAUAUAUCAUAUGGGGGAAUUGAGUCUGUAUCAAUGUGGUCCUAGUUCGCCCCCAGUCACUCCAGUUGAACAGAUUGCGUCGCAGCCGGGAACUUCUUUUGGUUAUUUCAUGGAAAUUGAGGUACCAGCACCUGGUAGAGAAAUUUCGUACUACUUUAUGGAAUCCCAUUUCUGCUGUCGUCUGCUUCCUUCAUUCAGUCCUUCACUCUUGGCCUUCACGGUUGAUGUUGAUUGUUGAUAGUGGGAGAUGUUCGUUGUGGCACUAGAGUAAAUUUUCCAUUAUGGUAGUCUUGGGGACACAAUCAAUAGGGAUAGCUCCAAGUGAAACUACAGGAAAACUUCUUGAAUUGUUGAUCGCUUCAGAUUUAGUUAAUGACUAGAGAGUAGACCCCUUUGCUUCUCUGUUGCAAUUAUGAGUUAAGACCAUUAUGGAAAUGUGGAUUACAUUUGUUAUUUUUAAGUUGAAAAACUUGACAACUACAAAUUCCUUUGUAAGAUUUAUCA
rnacentral:lncRNA from 1 species